AGAUUUGCGCAGUGGCGAUAUCGUAACUAAUGUGGUUUAUCCGAGGUGCGAUUAUUGCUAGUUAAAAACUAACAAAAAUCUCUAUCCAAUUAGAUACAUAUCGAGAUUAAGUAAAUAUAAUAUGGUGUCGGAGUUAUUUG